UACGGAGGGUGCAAGCGUUAUCCGGAUUUACUGGGUUUAAAGGGUGCGUAGGUUGAUUGGUAAGUCAGUGGUGAAAUACUACAGCGCAACUGUGGAACUGCCAUUGAUACUAUCAAUCUUGAAUGCAGUGGAGGCAGGCGGAAUGUGUCAUGUAGCGGUGAAAUGCUUAGAUAUGACACAGAACACCUAUUGCGAAGGCAGCUUGCUACACUGAUAUUGACACUGAGGCACGAAAGCGUGGGGAUCAAACAGG
rnacentral:rRNA from 1 species